rnacentral:rRNA from 1 species
AACGAACGCUGGCGGCAGGCUUAACACAUGCAAGGCGAGCGCCCCGUGAGGGGAGCGGCAGACGGGUGAGUAACGCGUGGGUAUCUACCCAUCGCUACGGAAUAACGCAUGGAAACGAGUGCUAAUACCGUAUACGUCUUUCGGGAGAAGGAUUUAUCGGUGAUGGAUGAGGCCGCGUUGGAUUAGCUAGUUGGUGGGGUAAAGGCCUACCAAGGCGACGAUACAGAGCUGGUCUGACGGAAUGAUCAGCCACGCUGGGACUUAGACACGGCCCAGACUCCUGCGGGGGGCAGCAGUGCGGAAUAUUGGACAAUGGGCGCAAGCCUGGACCAGCCAGGCCGCGUUAGUGAUGUAGGCCCUACGGUUGUAAAGCUCUGUCACCGGUGAAGAUAAUGCCGGUAACCGGAGAAGAAGCCCCGGCUAACUUCUUGCCAGCCGCCGCUGUAAUAC